GACGAACGCUGGCGGCGUGCUUAACACAUGCAAGUCGAACGGAAAGGCCCUGCUUUUGUGGGGUGCUCGAGUGGCGAACGGGUGAGUAACACGUGAGUAACCUGCCCUUGACUUUGGGAUAACUUCAGGAAACUGGGGCUAAUACCGGAUAGGAGCUCCUGCUGCAUGGUGGGGGUUGGAAAGUUUCGGCGGUUGGGGAUGGACUCGCGGCUUAUCAGCUUGUUGGUGGGGUAGUGGCUUACCAAGGCUUUGACGGGUAGCCGGCCUGAGAGGGUGACCGGCCACAAUGGGACUGAGAUACGGCCCAGACUCCUACGGGAGGCAGCAGGGGGGAAUAUUGCACAAUGGGCGGAAGCCUGAUACAGCAACGCCGCGGGCGGGAUGACGGCCUUCGGGUAGUGAACCGCUUUCGCCUGUGACGAAGCGGGAGUGACGGUAAUGGGUAAAGAAGCACCGGCUAACUACGUG
rnacentral:rRNA from 1 species